rnacentral:rRNA from 1 species
AGGGAGGAAGGUAGUGUAGUUAACACCUGCAUUAUUUGACGUUACCUACAGAAGAAGCACCGGCUAACUCCGUGCCAGCAGCCGCGGUAAUACGGAGGGUGCGAGCGUUAAUCGGAAUUACUGGGCGUAAAGCGCAUGCAGGCGGCCGUGUUAAAGUACAGAUAGUGAAAGACCCGGGGCGUUAACCUCGGAAUUGCAUUUGAAACUAGGCAGGCUAGAGUCUUGUAGAGGGGGGUAGGAAUUUCAGGUGUAGCGGUGAAAUGCGUAGAGAUCUGAAGGAAUACCAGUGGCGAAGGCGGCCCCCUGGACAAAGACUGACGCUCAGAUGCGAAAGCGUGGGGAGCAAACAGGAUUAGAUACCCCUGGUAG